UUUUACAGUGCGUGUGCAACUAUAUUCUCAAUCAGCACUGCUCCAAUAUUAUUUUUUAAAGGACAGCAUCACAGUAAAUUAUCAUCCUGAAGCUCUGCACAGCACCAUGGUUUAUGCAGAUUUGUAACAUGAAGAAGAGAAAAGGAGCAGCUGUUGACUCAAGAUGCAGAAAAUCAACUGUGAAUGUGAAUUAAAAGGUUCACGUGGUCACACAACCCAGGACAUUGCACUCAAGUAACCAGUGAAUAAAGAAUGUGAGGACUUCAGUUAAGAUGCAAACCAUCUUAAAUCUGAUUUAGCAAUCAAAGCGUUUAAGGAUCACAGAGGGGGUCUUGUUUGUGAAAGCCCCAUCAUGACACACAACACUGCCCCGUCUCCCAUGGCUGCCUGUGCAGUGGCUGACAGCCAACUAAUGACUUUGAUCGAGGGUUCCUACCAACAGCCUCAUGAAUUAAUCAUCACCUUCCCUUGACCUGUGCAUUGAUACUAUCUCAGCCAGUCUCUGCAGCCUCCCGAGGACCAGAUAGGUUAUGUAAGUUGAGAGAUGAUAGACUAGAUGGAUGGGAUGCAGAAGGAGCUCAUGCCUUGCAGUCAAGAGCAACGAUUGUGAUUGAUGCUGGCAGUUUGUUUUUAAUAAGCAGGUUAUGUUGCUUUGUGAAAACACUUAAUGCACUGGAAAUAAGUAAUGACACUGUUAUGUGUG